GCUCCCCGGAGCGGCGUCGGCGCCGGGACCGGCCCGCGCUCUUCCAGCGGGAGCUCUUUGUCCUGCCGGCUGCCCCGUGUCCCCCGGCCGGUGUCUCUGCCCCCCCCCCCCCCCCCCGUCUGCGGAGCCCCGGGUCCCGCUAACGCCUGGUGUCGGAGCGUUGCCCCCUCUGCAGCUGGGCCGUGUGCCCCUGGCAGCAGGUAGGGCGGAGCAGCUCUGGUUUACCUCUAGUCUGCUUGCACACUCACCCCCGGCUCUGAGGCUUUUCCCUUAGGGAAGGGGCAGUUGCCACUUCAUGGAAAAAGGAUAAUUGCUUGUCUAAGGCCUUACACAGCCGUUGGUACCAUAACACUGAGUAUCUUGCACUCUUAAGACCAUUGUGCAUAAAUCAUCCCUGCGAAGUAAGGUAAUCCUGUUGUUCCCUAUUUUACAUCUGAAAAGCCAGAGGAUGGAAAAAGUAAUUUCAGUAUCUUAAAUCUCAAAUGUUAAAAAUAAAGAAGCCACCUUUCAGGUGUCUUUCAUUGCCCACUCAGGACUGCUUUUCUGGGUGUAGUUAAUGUGUUUUCAUGUUUCUCUGCAGCCAUGACAGCCAGGCACAAAUGUCUUUGUGCAAAUGACAGCUGAAGUUCUCAGAUGUUCUUUGCCCAGAGGAGGUGUGAGGCUAAUAACUCUUAUGUAACUUGCAAUCAAAUACUCUACCAUCUCCUACAGGCAAAAAUGGAACCUGUCACACUUCAUGAAGUUGCUGACCAGAGUACAAAGAGACCACUGUUCCAUGGCCUUUAAUACUAGUACCUCAAACUGAAGCAGACAAAUCUGAAGGAAAAAAGAAGGAAAAAGGUUAAUAUGGUAGUUAAAGAAUAUAAAAAAGGCCACACUGCCCAGAGGCAAGAGGCAGCUAACUCCCACACUGACAAGGCAGACAAUAUGCUACAGGAAUCUACCAGGCCUGGACUAUAAGAAAAAGAGCAAAAGGGGAGAUCAUAAAAAGCACAGAUGGACUCGGAGAUCAAGCCCCAGCCAGCCGGUGCAGUAGAAGUUACAGACUGGAGAGGGAAAGGCAGGGGAACAUGGUUAAGAACAAAGGAUUCAUAAAUGAAGGUGCAGGGACAGAAAUAUCUAGGAAGCAGAUGUUUCAAAAGGAUGAAGAAAAGUGAUGGUGAUGGAAAAGCAGAUACAGAGAAAAGGACACUAUAGAAAAAGGAAGUUUACAUAAAAAUACUUGAACAAAGAAUAUUGUAAGCUAGUGAAAAUCAGUGCUUCAGUGACUUGCCUGGCAUUACUUCUACUACUGCUGUUGUUGUUUUUGGAUUUUCUUGUCUAGAGCCAGUUGACUGAGUGGUGCUAUUUCUGUUCUUUAAUUAAAAUAUUUUAACUGCAUAAGAUUUUUUUUUACCAGUACCAGUCCAUCUACCCCCAAAGUCGCACACAUUCAUUUUCUUCUAAAUGAUUUUAUUUAAGUGUUGCCUUAACAGAGUCUCCCCUUGGUGGUGAGAUAGGAGAAACAUUAUCAUAGUCUGUUCUAAUAGAAAAUUGGACUAAAAUCCAUCCAUUAUUAAAUAGAUUCACAUAUGUACAGUCACAGCUGAAAUUCUGGAGUUCGGCAGAACUACUAGUUACUUUCUGAAUCAGUUCAGAAAUAGAAUUUGAUGCUCAAAUCUUUGACCUUUGUUAAUAAACUCCAAUGAUAAAUAUUAUAAUUCUUCCA
rnacentral:lncRNA from 1 species